UAUGAUCGUAUGAUUAGACCUGUUAUCACAGCUGCAGGACUGACUGAAUAUUUUGUGAUCUUCAGUGUGCCACCAAAUGAUUUAGAAUUGUUUUCAGUGGCAUCAAAAUUCAUAUCAGAAUCUGAUUUUAUGUUGAAUUGGCUUAUCUUAAAAACAGUGAAAAACUUGAAAAUUCAGCACUAUUGCCUGUACACUGUAAAAACAAAAAGUUAGAAUAACCCCUGCUUGGUUACUUUCACCAGUAAAUUGAAUAGUUAUUGUAACCAUUAUUUUGUUAUCUUAACUACUUUUAGGUUAAUUUUAAUCUGAGGAGUUAUUUUCACCAAAUUAA